rnacentral:rRNA from 1 species
GGGGGGGAGCGAGCGUUUGUUCGGAAUUACUGGGCGUAAAGGGCGCGUAGGCGGCCGGGUCAGUCGCGUGUGAAAGGCCGGGGCUCAACCCCGAGCAUUGCACGUGAUACUGCCUGGCUCGAGAGAGGUAGGGGCGAGUGGAAUUCCCGGUGUAGCGGUGGAAUGCGUAGAUAUCGGGAAGAACACCUGUGGCGAAGGCGGCUCGCUGGACCUUUUCUGACGCUGAAGCGCGAAAGCGUGGGGAGCAAACAGGAUUAGAUACCCUGGUAGUCCACGCCGUAAACGAUGGGUACUAGGUGUUGGGAGGAUUGACCCCUUUCAGUGCCGGCGCUAACGCAUUAAGUACCCCGCCUGGGGAGUACGGUCGCAAGGCUG